AUGAACGCUGGCGGCGUGCCUAAUACAUGCAAGUCGAGCGAACGGACGAGAAGCUUGCUUCUCUGAUGUUAGCGGCGGACGGGUGAGUAACACGUGGAUAACCUACCUAUAAGACUGGGAUAACUUCGGGAAACCGGAGCUAAUACCGGAUAAUAUUUUGAACCGCAUGGUUCAAAAGUAAAAGACGGUCUUGCUGUCACUUAUAGAUGGAUCCGCGCUGCAUUAGCUAGUUGGUAAGGUAACGGCUUACCAAGGCAACGAUGCAUAGCCGACCUGAGAGGGUGAUCGGCCACACUGGAGCUGAGACACGGUCCAGACUCCUACGGGAGGCAGCAGUAGGGAAUCUUCCGCAAUGGGCGAAAGCCUGACGGAGCAACGCCGCGUGAGUGAUGAAGGUCUUCGGAUCGUAAAACUCUGUUAUUAGGGAAGAACAUAUGUGUAAGUAACUGUGCACAUCUUGACGGUACCUAAUCAGAAAGCCACGGCUAACUACGUG
rnacentral:rRNA from 1 species